AACUCCCCAACAAAAAUUAAUAUGCAACUGCCUUCCUGAAGUACACGUAAAACUACUGGCCCCUCUAAAACCCAACCUACCAAGGUAACCACACAAUCCAUAAUCAGCCCUUUCAACAGUAGUUAGGUGUAACUGAAGAUCAUAGUAUUGGAACAAGGCGGGUUUGGCGCCAAAAUAGUGUUAGCGAAGAUGGCGGCGAUGACGACAUCCAAGAUGGCGGCCAUGACGUCAUUCAAGAUGGUGGAUUUUGGCGGGAAGUUUGAAUUUUGGCGGGAAAGUGCGCCGCCCCCCCUCGCCCAGAAAAAUGGCGCAAAGUUCAAAUUCCAACAGGAUAAUGCACCACACCACGCUUAUCUCUACUAAGCAAAGAAAAUGGCGGGAAAUAAUGACUUGUCUUUAUUAUUUAACCAGUUUCAAGCAGGUGUAUUCUCCACUGGGUCUGGACUCCAAAUGGCUUCUAUAUUUUGUUAAAUAGUUUGUCGACAUCAGUCAACUUUUCUGCAUUAUGAAGCAUACAGGCAGCACCAGCGACUAUGCCACUGGCAGCAGCAACAGCAGCAGCAGCAGCGAAUGGGCUCAUGUGGACGAAGUUCCAUUACCUGGUAAGUACAUUUUCAGUGUUCUGAUAUCUGUACCCUUUAACUCCGUGUAUGAGUGCUACAUCUGUUUUGGACCAUUCUCUAUAAAGAUUGAGUGUGCAUGUGUUAUAUGUAUCUAUGUUUUGUGUCUAUAUGUUAUUUUUGUUUUGGAGUGCUCUCUAUACUGAUUGAGCUUCCACGUGUUCUGUGUUACAUGUUAUAUCCGUUUUGGACCCUCCCUACAAAGAUUGCUAGGUCUUUUAAUGGAUUGUGUGUGUUCUGUCUCUAAAUGUUGCGUGUCUCUAUGUUCUGUGUCUAUAUGUUCUGUGUCGUAUGUGUUAGAUUUGUUUCAGAGUGCUCUCAAUACUGCUUGAGCUUCCUCGUGUUGUUUGUCUAUGUGUGUGUGCCCACAUGUUCUGUGUUACGUGUUAUGUGUUAUAUCCAUUUCGAUCACUCUCUAUAAAGAUUUCAUUUGUUUGUUUUUGUCGAUAUGUUAUAUCUGUUUUGGUCCGCUGAUUUCUGUAUCAUUUAUGUCACUGCACUUCUUCUACAGACAUUUUUCUUCUCCAUACUCGAUAUUAUACUCGGUCUUUUCCAUCUUUCUACAUUACAUCCAUCCAGAACUUGAGGCACUUGAUCGGCAGCUAGAGAUGAGAAGGUGCAGGCGCUACUCGAAUCUAACUACUGUUCCUAAGUCCGCGAAUAGGGAGAGGUGUGUCGAGAAAGGCAUACAAGGCGGCGGUCAGAUGGCGUCCACUGCAGGGGACACCCAAAUUACUGAGUUUUUAGAGGAGGAGGAGGAACUUAAUCUGCUUGACUAGUUUGGGGGCCUUGUUGAAUGUGGCAAUGAGUUGCUCAAGCUAUGGAGCCAGAGCAGAGAAGGUAUAUCACACAGCAUAGCCCAUAUACCUAGAGCAGUGGUUGCAGGAGUGGUAACCAGGGGCACACAGCCACAAACACAUGCAGCGCCCUGUGUAGCCCCUGUCAGAGCUGCACAAGAGGCAGCAGCAGAAGCUCGUCAGCACCGCCCCCCGCCUUGUGGCGUCCCUGGGCAACUCAACAGGUGGGCCACGAAGAAGAAGAAGAACAACGGUCUUCCACCCCAACGCUUCUAUUUUUGGAGCUUGGGAUCCGUGGGGGACAUGGUCAAUGUGUUCACAGGCACGCCAAGGCAAAUAACCUGCAGAUGGGUGUCGAGUUCAAUGCACCCCUUGAUUCUAGUUACAUUUUGUACUUAGAUGUUAACAACUUAUACAGGCACUCUAUGAUGCAGUCACUGCCGGUUGGAUGGUCUUGGUGGCUGUCCGAAAACGAAUUGAAGGGAUUAGGUGGAGAAAUAAUGGGUCUUGCUGCUGAUUCUGAUGUAGGAUAUGUGCUUGAGACAUACCCUAAUAAUUUGCAUGGAGAGACAAGCGACUUGCUGUUAUGUCCAGAGCAACAAAUUCUGCGAGGAAACACCACCCCUAAACUGUUGGCUACUGUUGGAGAUAAGCAGAGCUAUAUUAUUCAUUAUUGUAACCUCCAGCAAUGCCUCAGAUUAGGGAUGAAGCUUGUUAGAGUCACCUGGGCAAUCUCCCUCAAGCAAUCUCCCUGGUUGAACGAGUAUAUUGAACUAAAUGCCGAAAAGAAGGUGGUAGCAAGCAAUGAUCUUGAAAAUGACUUUUAUAAAUUAAUGAAUAAUUGCAUUUUCGGGAAAACUAUACAGAAUGUAUGAAAUGAACGAGAUAUUUUCAUUAGAACCGAAUGGGAAGGGCGCUAUGGCGUGAGAAAAUGUAUAGCCAGACCAAAUUUUAAGUGUGCCACCGCCUUCAAUGAAAACUUUGUUGCUUUGGAGAUGUCGAAGACUGCAGUAGAGUUUAUGAAGCCUAUCUAUUUGGGGAUGUGGAUACUGGAUAUCUCCAAAUUCUACAUGUACCGAUUUCACUAUGAGUUUGCGAAACCUCAUUUCGUAGAACCAAAGUUACAUUAUAUGGAUACAGACAGCUUUAUCUACUGGAUCAAGAACUGUGAUCCAUAUGAAGUAAUUAGGUGCAAUGGUAAAGAAUUUGACAGGUCUUCUUAUGGGGCCAAUAAUCCUUACAGUAUUGUUCCUCAGAACAAGAAGGUUAUCGGUCUCAUGAAAGACGAGUCAAAUGGUUUACCAAUUGUAGAGUUUGUGGGAUUGAGGUCCAAAAUGUAUGCAUAUCGUACAAUAGACAGGGACACUUAGAGGCGGGCAAAGGGUGUUAGACACAUAGCAUCUCAUGUUGUUAUGGUCGAGGACUAUUUGCAAUGCCUGUAUGGUCGCAGCAUUCAAGGUGCUCGUCCACACAUGGUUCAACAAACUAGUAUUCAAUCACAAAGUUAUGACGUGUACGUUGUGCUACAGUCUAAAAUCGGAUUGUCUCCUCAUGAUGAUGAAAGAGUCAUUUGUGAGGAUGGGGUGGAAACCCUUCCAUGCUUACACUAUUUACUUGAAACGAAAGUAAAGGUGUGCUCUCUCGUUGGUAGAUAGAGAGAGAAUGAGUGUGUGAAUGGGGGUUAUGCAUGGAAAUAGUACGGCUCUUCUAUCAUAGUGUAAAUAUCAGAUGAGUGUGUUGUGUGGUGUGUAUCAGUCUGCAUGCUUCCGUGUAUGUCUGAGUGUGGGAGCCUGUGUUAAGUGUAUGUCUGUGUAAAUAUAUAUUCAUUAUUUUGGUAAAGAAAAUGAUAAAAAAGCAAAAAAUAUAAAAACUGAAAAAUUAUUUAGAAAAAAAGUCUCUAUGUAUGUAAAUAUUUUUCAUCCAUAUUACUAGUCAAUAUAUGAACGAAACCUAACUUUUUUCACGUCAUUUGUACCUGUAUAUGAAGAAAAAACCAAGUUUUUGCACUUCAUAUGUGCUUCUGUGUGAGUGGUCGUAGAUUACAUUUUAAUUGUAAGUUUCACGUAUGGCUAGCCAUCCAGUCAGAACUAGUUUUAAGUAUGUGAGUUCCACCCAAUUAAAUUCUUUAUAUAUGUUCACUUGCUUGUCGUAGUGGAAGAUAUUUAGAGCUAUCGACUUCAAAGAAAUAUAUAUGUUCACUUGCUUGUUGUAGUGGAAAAUGUUUAGGGCGACUUACUUCAAAGAAAUAUAUAUGUUCAGUUGCUUGUGGUAGUGGAAAAUGUUUAUAGCAAACCACUUCUAAGAAAUAUGUUCGCCUUUAAUAAAAAGUCUUUUCUUUUUCAGGUGGAACUUCACUAGCGAUAGUAUUGACUGUGUAAGAUAGUGUAAUUAGCUUGUAGUACCUCUGCGUUAGCUUUAAACUUAUAUAUAUAUUUGUGUGUGUGUGUGUGUGUGUGUGUGUGUGUGUGUGUGUGUGUGUGUAAAUGCUAAUCAUUUAUCUGAGCAGAGUGCUCAUAUUUCUGAAUAAUGUAAAAUCUGAAAAACCUAUCUGCAAAUAUGAGAACGUCCACAUUUUUCAUAAAAAAAUGUAAAUCUUAAUCAUGUAUCUGUAAACUGUUAUAAUGUGAAAACUGAAUGAUGUAUGU